rnacentral:rRNA from 1 species
UACGUAUGGUGCAAGCGUUAUCCGGAUUUACUGGGUGUAAAGGGAGCGCAGGCGGCACGCUAAGCCUGAUGUGAAAACCCGCGGCCCAACCGCGGGAGUGCAUUGGGAACUGGCGAGCUAGAGUACCGGAGGGGCAGGCGGAAUUCCGUGUGUAGCGGUGAAAUGCGUAGAUAUACGGAGGAACACCAGUGGCGAAGGCGGAUUGCUGGACAGUAACUGACGCUGAGGCGCGAAAGCGUGGGGAGCAAACAGG